UUUCUUCAAUUAACGAACAACAUGACUCACAUGAAGUGGAAGAUCAUCCCGUUAUGGAAAGAGGACUACAGACUAUCUCCAGCAGAAGAGCCCAGAAGGUCUAUCCACAAUCCAUGGGAUCUUCAAAGCUGUAGUAAAACGUAAGCACAAGGGCACAAUACUCAAGAAAUGUAUAUUGUUGGGGCACAGGACUGUGUGAGUGCCCCAGCCAAACCCAUUUGAUUCAUCCCGAGUACUAUCCACAACCCAUGGGACCUUUGAAGCAGUAGUGAAGCGUAAGCGCAAGUGUACUAUUUCCAAGAAAUUUACAUUAUUGGGGCACAAUAUUGUCGAAGUGCCCUUAACCAACCUCAUCUGAUGCAAUCCCGUGAUACGUGUGAUGAUACAUA